rnacentral:rRNA from 1 species
UACGGAAUAGCCCAGGGAAACUUGGAGUAAUACCGUAUAAUACCCGAAAGGGGAAAGAUUUAUCGCCAUUGGAUGGGCCCGCGUAGGAUUAGCUAGUUGGUGAGGUAAUGGCUCACCAAGGCGACGAUCCUUAGCUGGUCUGAGAGGAUGAUCAGCCACACUGGGACUGAGACACGGCCCAGACUCCUACGGGAGGCAGCAGUGGGGAAUAUUGGGCAAUGGGCGCAAGCCUGACCCAGCCAUGCCGCGUGAGUGACGAAGGCCUUAGGGUUGUAAAGCUCUUUUGGCGGGGACGAUAAUGACGGUACCCGCAGAAUAAGCCCCGGCUAACUUCGUGCCAGCAGCCGCGGUAAUACGAAGGGGGCUAGCGUUGUUCGGAAUCACUGGGCGUAAAGC